CUACUUGGCUAAGUCCCUCUGGGAAAAGAAUGUGCACACUAUUUUGAUUUAAACUUGCAGUUCUUUUACAGGCACUGUACAGUAAUAGAGGUAUUGGAAAACAGCCUUAUUUAAGCAAGAGUCUACUUGAAACAACUACCUCAAUAUUGACCAGCAACUUGAAGGACCCCUUGGAUCUAGAGACAGAUUAUCCUCAGGAGAUGCAGACUUUGCUAUAUUAUGACAAG
rnacentral:lncRNA from 1 species